rnacentral:rRNA from 1 species
GAUGAACGCUGGCGGCGUGCCUAAUACAUGCCAGUCGAGCGAACGGACGCGACGCUUGCUUCUCUGUUGUUAGCGGCGGACGUGUGAGUAACACGUGUAUAACCUACCUAUAUGUCUGGGAUAACUUCGGGAAACCGGAGCUAAUACCGGAUGAUAUUUUGAACCGCAUGGUUCAACAGUGAAAGACGGUCUUGCUGUCACUUAUAGCUGCAUCCGCGCUGCAUUAGCUAGUUGGUAAGUUAACGGCUUACCACGGCAACGAUGCAUAGCCGACCUGAGAGAGUGAUAGGCCACACGGGAAGUGGGACGGGGUCCAGACGACUGAGGGAGGGAGCAGUAGGGAAUGUGAGGCAAUGGGCGAAAGCAUGACGGAGCAAGGCCGCGUGAGUGAUGAAGGUCUUCGGAUCGUAAAACUCUGUUAUUAGGGAAGAACAGAUGUGUAAGGAACUGAGCACAUCUUGACGGUACCUAAUCAGAAAGCCACGGCUAACUACGUG